GAGGAAAGAGGGAGGCGUGCCUAAUACAUGCAAGUCGAGCGAACAGAUGAGGAGCUUGCUCCUCUGACGUUAGCGGCGGACGGGUGAGUAACACGUGGAUAACCUACCUAUAAGACUGGGAUAACUUCGGGAAACCGGAGCUAAUACCGGAUAAUAUAUUGAACCGCAUGGUUCAAUAGUGAAAGACGGUUUUGCUGUCACUUAUAGAUGGAUCCGCGCCGCAUUAGCUAGUUGGUAAGGUAACGGCUUACCAAGGCAACGAUGCGUAGCCGACCUGAGAGGGUGAUCGGCCACACUGGAACUGAGACACGGUCCAGACUCCUACGGGAGGCAGCAGUAGGGAAUCUUCCGCAAUGGGCGAAAGCCUGACGGAGCAACGCCGCGUGAGUGAUGAAGGUCUUCGGAUCGUAAAACUCUGUUAUUGGGGAAGAACAAAUGUGUAAGUAACUAUGCACGUCUUGACGGUACCUAAUCAGAAAGCCACGGCUAACUACGUG
rnacentral:rRNA from 1 species